rfam:Heterocephalus glaber contig136358, whole genome shotgun sequence.
GGGGAUUUAGCUCAGUGGUUCCAGCACCUGCCUUGAAAGCGCAAGGUCCUGAGUUCGAUCCCCAGUACCCCCU